UUGGACCUUGAUAUCAGGCAAGAUUACCCCG
rnacentral:rRNA from 1 species